rnacentral:rRNA from 1 species
GAUGAACGCUGGCGGCGUGCUUAACACAUGCAAGUCGAACGAGAAGUGAAGACGGAAACCUUCGGGCGGAAGGCUUUAUUUCGAGUGGCGGACGGGUGAGUAACGCGUGGGUAACCUGCCUCAUACAGGGGGAUAACAGUUGGAAACGACUGUUAAUACCGCAUAAGACCACAGCACCGCAUGGUGCGGGGGUAAAAACUCCGGUGGUAUGAGAUGGACCCGCGUUCGAUUAGCCAGUUGGCGGGGUAACGGCCCACCAAAGCGACGAUCGAUAGCCGAUCUGAGAGGAUGACCGGCCACAUUGGGACUGAGACACGGCCCAAACUCCUACGGGAGGCAGCGGUGGGGAAUAUUGCACAAUGGGGGAAACCCUGAUGCAGCGACGCCGCGUGAGUGAAGAAGUAUUUCGGUAUGUAAAGCUCUAUCAGCAGGGAAGAAAAUGACGGUACCUGAGUAAGAAGCCCCGGCUAACUACGU